UACGUAGGGUCCGAGCGUUGUCCGGAAUUAUUGGGCGUAAAGGGCUCGUAGGCGGUUUGUCGCGUCGGGAGUGAAAACUCAGGGCUCAACCCUGAGCGUGCUUCCGAUACGGGCAGACUAGAGGUAUGCAGGGGAGAACGGAAUUCCUGGUGUAGCGGUGGAAUGCGCAGAUAUCAGGAGGAACACCGGUGGCGAAGGCGGUUCUCUGGGCAUGUCCUGACGCUGAGGAGCGAAAGCAUGGGGAGCGAACAGG
rnacentral:rRNA from 1 species